GGGGGUAUAGCUCAGCUGGGAGAGCAGCAGACUGAAGUGUAUUACUCUUCUGAAGGUCCCGCGUUCGAUCCGCGGUACUCCCA